GGAAGUACACGUUGUGGGUCCUGUCUACGAAGGAAUGCCAUCUGACGGGUCCUAGAAGGAGAGUCUUUUCUUCCGUGGCACCCACCCUGUGGCACAUCAUCCCCCUGAGGGAUGCUAGUCUAAAGGCGAUAACCUUACAAUCAUGAUUCGGAAAGGAUACCUCUGAUGGGAACCUUUCAUUAGAGUCCUUUGGAAAAAUAAUCAAAAGAGAAAAAUAUGGUAAAGAAACUUGCAUAAUUUAUUCUGACCAAGAAGUCAUUCAUCUUAUAUUAUCCUUAUAUAUGAAUUGUAAUGGAGUUGGGUGGCUUAUACACAUUCCAUCUGAAAUGUAUAUAAAUUUAAUUAUGUUUAUAUUAUACAAUGUUAAUAAAUUAGAUAAAAAUGCACAGA